AAUGAGAAGCUUCUUC
rnacentral:sRNA from 1 species